rnacentral:rRNA from 1 species
UACGUAGGGUGCAAGCGUUGUCCGGAAUUAUUGGGCGUAAAGAGCGUGUAGGCGGCCAGGUAGGUCUGCUGUGAAAACUCGAGGCUCACCUCGAGACGUCGGCGGAAACCAUCUGGCUAGAGUCCGGAAGAGGAGAGUGGAAUUCCUGGGAUGUAGCGGUGAAAUGCGCAGAUAUCAGGAAGAACACCAAUGCGAAGGCAGCUCUCUGGGACGGUACUGACACUGAGACGCGAAAGCGUGGGGAGACGAACAGG